AUGUUGCAUUCUUUAAUUCAUACGACCCCUAACUCUGGAUGUACUUUUGCUUUAGAUAAACCAAAACCACAAGGUUUAUUGGACUCUAAGAAGGAUACAGUUAUCCCAAGGGAGGGAAACAAUCAACAUAUUGCAGCACACACAUUCACUUUUCGUGAGCUUGCUGCUGCCACUAAGAACUUCAGACAGGAUUGCCUAUUGGGCGAGGGAGGUUUCGGCCGUGUAUAUAGAGGACGUUUGGACAAUGGACAGGCUGUUGCAGUUAAGCAACUUGAUCGCAAUGGACUUCAAGGUAACAGAGAGUUUCUGGUUGAGGUCCUUAUGCUCAGUCUAUUGCACCACGAUAACUUGGUAAACCUAAUUGGAUACUGUGCUGAUGGGGAUCAACGUCUUCUUGUAUAUGAAUAUAUGCCGCUAGGAUCACUUGAGGAUCAUUUGCACGACAUUCCACCUGAAAAGGAACCUCUUGACUGGAAUACACGGAUGAAGAUUGCUGCUGGUGCUGCCAAGGGAUUAGAAUACUUGCAUGACAAGGCAAGUCCUCCUGUUAUUUACCGGGAUUUCAAGUCGUCAAACAUUCUUCUUGGCGAAGAGUUUCAUCCAAAGCUAUCUGACUUUGGCCUUGCAAAACUUGGCCCUGUCGGUGAUAAAACCCAUGUUUCAACUCGUGUUAUGGGAACUUAUGGCUACUGUGCCCCAGAGUAUGCAAUGACUGGACAGCUUACAGUUAAAUCUGAUGUGUAUAGCUUUGGUGUUGUGUUCCUUGAACUGAUUACUGGUCGUAAAGCAAUUGACAACACCAAACCACAUGGAGAGCAAAACCUAGUGGCGUGGGCUCGUCCUCUGUUCAAAGACCGCAGAAAAUUUCCAAAAAUGGCUGAUCCGGCACUUCAGGGCCGCUUUCCUAUGAGGGGUCUGUAUCAAGCUUUAGCCGUUGCUGCAAUGUGUUUGCAAGAGCAAGCUGCCACUCGGCCUUUCAUAGGAGAUGUGGUCACUGCUCUUUCAUAUCUUGCUUCUCAGGCGUAUGAUCCAAAUGCACCCACUCAACAUAGUCGGAGCAAUGCAUCUACCCCCAGAGCCAGAGACCGUGGUAGUGUGAACGGCGACCAGCGGCGUAUCCGGUCGCCAAAUCACCAUUCUCCAGAUCUGAGGAGAAAAGAAGCCACAACAACAUCGAAGUAUGAAGCCGAGGUUAGCAGGAAUAGUUCUGGUGGUGGUUCUGGUAGACGAUCAGGCUUGGAUGAUAGGGAUGUGACAGGUUCACAACAGGGUAGUCCUGCUCAGGCAGGAAAGAGGAGGGAAACUUCAAGGACCUCUGAGAGGCAGCGUGCUAUUGCAGAGGCUAAGACAUGGGGUGAGAAUUCUAGAGAGAGGAAAUGGCCGAAUGCUCGGGGCAGCUUCGAUAGUACAAAUGAGUAG
rnacentral:rRNA from 1 species